GUCGCUUUGACAUAUUCACCAUUUCCUUUCUCAAUUUUAUUUAUAUUACACAUCUUUUGGUGGUUCAGGAAAAUGAAAAAAAAUUGUGGAGAACUGUUAGAAAAAAUAUGAUACUGCUGAAAACUUAUGUUAUCCCUUAUUGAAAAAUCGGCCUUUUUGCGAACUGUUCUGCCGCAAACACUGCGGUAAGGUUACUGCAAAUAGUUUGCCGCAACAACACUUCGACUUUUUACCAUGCAAAUGAAGGUUGCAGCAGACUUGCUGCAAAGUUUUAUAGCCUUAUAUAGUUUGUGGUGAACUUCUGGCGACUAUUUGUGGUGAAUCUCUGGCAAACUUUGAUAGCCUUAUAUAGUUUGUGGCGAACUUCUGGCAAUUUUUGGGGUGAACUUCUGACAAACUUCCAAAGCCUUAUAUAGUUUGCAGUGAACUACCGGCAAAUCAAGUGACUAUGGUAAUUUUUGUACUAAUAAUAGCAAAUUUACAUGCAAAAACUGCCUAAAUUAACUUCCAAAGAGAUGAUCAAUGAUGCAUGGCCUGUUUCAAGAACUAAUUGAAUCAUAUAUAACUCAGACGUAUUUCAUAUAUAACAUCCAUUUAUUUUUAAUAUGAAAACACGAACAUUAAACUAACUUCCCUCCUGUUAUCAAAGAAACAGGAAGUCUGAAUUUAGUACUUGGAGCAUGCUCAGUAUGCUAUAAAGUUUGUGUAGAAGUUCCAGCAAACUUAAGGACUGCUUUAAAGUUUGUUUACAAAGUUCCUUUAAAUUUAAGAACGUUAAGAGUUUGUGACAACCUUGCGGCAACUUUUAACAUAUGUUUGUGGACAGUUUGCUGCUAGCGGCAAACACGGGUGAACAACUUUCAGGUCUUCUGGCGAACUAAAAAGAUUGCUGCAACCUUACCGCAAGGUAACAUGCAGCAAUGUUUCUCUUUUCAUAAGGGAUGUAGAGGUUUUGAGUUUCUCUAAAUUUGAGUUGAAAGAAAUUGAUUUGUUAUAUAUAU
rnacentral:lncRNA from 1 species